UGUCACGUGUCCCAUUAGGAAAACAUGGCCGACGGAGUAAGUGAAACAAACACAGCUGCUGAGGAAAGCGACGCCAAAGAACAGGACCCCAAAGUUUUGGAAGUUCUUCCAGACAGCCACCCUGUUGGCGUUAGCAGCGAUGAAGAGACUUCAAAAGACAAACCGGCGACCGAGAGCAACUGGUCAACACCGAUCCUGUCACUGGCACGGAAGGCGACGGAGACCAUCAGCAGUGGGGUCAGCUACGGUGCAGCUUUCAGAAACGCCACAUCUUCGGGAUCUGCUACGAGCUCUCCGACGUGUCCGACUAAACAAAACUCUACCGAGAAUGACACCAACGCUAACCAAUACCUACCAGCAGUGAAGGACCAUAUGGCUGUGGAGCGCUCCAACCUGUUCAGUAUGAUGAAGCUGAGUAUUAAGGGCCUGAUCCAGUCUUCUCUGAGUCUGGGCAGAACCCUGGACUCUGACUACCCUCCUCUGCAGCAGUUCUUUGUGGUUCUGGAGCAGUGCCUCAAACAUGGACUGAAAGUGAAGAAGUCAUUCAUCAAUCAGAAUAAGUCUAUCUGGGGUCCUCUGGAGCUGGUUCAGAAGCUGUGUCCUGAUUCUACUGAUAUUACCACCAGUGCCAGAGACCUGCCAGGGCUAAAGACUGGGUUGGGUCGGGCUCGGGCCUGGCUGCAUCUGGCCCUGAUGCAGAAGAAGUUGUCUGACUACCUGAAAGCCCUGCUGGACCAUAAGGACCUCCUGGUUGAGUUCUAUGAUCCAGGAGCGUUGAUGAUGGAGGAGGAGGGGACAGUGAUAGGAGGGAUGCUGGUGGGGCUAAACGUCAUUGAUGCUAACCUCUGUAUCAAAGGAGAGGACCUGGACUCCCAGGUGGGGGUCAUAGACUUCUCCUUGUACCUGAAGGACCCUAUGACCACUGAGACCACUAAGGAUGAUACUAAGAUGACGGCCAUAUUGGACCAGAAGCACUACAUUGAGGAGCUGAACAGACACCUGAGCUGCUCUGUCUCUGACCUGCAGGCCAAGAUGGACUCCAUAGAGAAGACCAACGGCAAGCUCAUUGAGGAGUUGAUGGCAGCGACAGACAGAAUUAACUCUUUACGGGAGGAACAGGAAACACUGAGACAUGAGAAUGAGACCAUCGUCCAUUGCAGCCAGAAGAAAGAGGAGGCGACCCUGGAGGACAGUGCAGUAGAGCUGGAGACAUACAGACAGACACGGCAGGGCCUGGAUGAGAUGUACAGUGUGGUCUGGAAACAGUACCAGGAGGAGAAACGCAUCAGACAGGAGUUGGAGAGGGAGCUGAAGCUGCAGGUAGGACUAAAGCAGGAGAUGGAGAUGGCCAUGAGGCUGCUGGAGAAAGACACACAUGAGAAACAGGAAACACUGCAAGCCCUCCGACAACAACUAGACCAGGUCAAAACCCUCAACCUGCAGAUGUUCCACAAGACACAGGACUGUGAGCGUGAGGCCCAGAGGAAGCAGGAGGAAGAGGGACAACUGGAGGAGAAGAUGAACCAGAUGAAGACCACCAUGAAGGAGAUGGAGCAGAGACUGCAGAACUCUGAGCGUGAUCGCAGACAAAGGGACCAGAUGGACAGGGUCAUGAGAACAGAGCUGGAGGGCAGAGUAGACUCCCUACAGAAACAACUGUCUGACCUGGACACACUGAGGCUGGGUCUGGAGAGUGAUCUGUGCAGUGAGAAGGAGCAGAGACAGACCAUUCAGAGAGCUUUACAGAGAGAACAGGACAACAGCACCGAGCUGCGCACCCAACUACAGCAGAUACAGGGGCUACACACGGAGCUGCAGGAUGUUCGUCAGGAGAAGAAGCAGCUCCAGCAGACCUGUCAGGAUCAGGAGACGGCCUUACAGGAGAUGGGUCUACACCUCAGCCAGUGAGUACUGUACUAGACGGCCUUACAGGAGAUGGGCCUACACCUCAGCCAGUGAGUACUGUACUAGACGGCCUUACAGGAGAUGGGCCUACACCUCAGCCAGUGAGUACUGUACUAGACGGCCUUACAGGAGAUGGGUCUACACCUCAGCCAGUGAGUACUGUACUAGACGGCCUUACAGGAGAUGGGUCUACACCUCAGCCAGUGAGUACUGUACUAGACGGCCUUACAGGAGAUGGGCCUACACCUCAGCCAGUGAGUACUGUACUAGACGGCCUUACAGGAGAUGGGUCUACACCUCAGCCAGUGAGUACUGUACUAGACGGCCUUACAGGAGAUGGGCCUACACCUCAGCCAGUGAGUACUGUACUAGACGGCCUUACAGGAGAUGGGCCUACACCUCAGCCAGUGAGUACUGUACUAGACGGCCUUACAGGAGAUGGGCCUACACCUCAGCCAGUGAGUACUGUAUUAGACGGCCUUACAGGAGAUGGGCCUACACCUCAGCCAGUGAGUACUGUACUAGACGGCCUUACAGGAGAUGGGCCUACACCUCAGCCAGUGAGUACUGUACUAGACGGCCUAACAGGAGAUGGGCCUACACCUCAGCCAGUGAGUACUGUACUAGACGGCCUUACAGGAGAUGGGCCUAUACCUCAGCCAGUGAGUACUGUACUAGACGGCCUUACAGGAGAUGGGCCUAUACCUCAGCCAGUGAGUACUGUACUAGACGGCCUUACAGGAGAUGGGCCUACACCUCAGCCAGUGAGUACUGUACUAGACGGCCUAACAGGAGAUGGGUCUACACCUCAGCCAGUGAGUACUGUACUAGACGGCCUAACAGGAGAUGGGCCUACACCUCAGCCAGUGAGUACUGUACUAGACGGCCUUACAGGAGAUGGGCCUACACCUCAGCCAGUGAGUACUGUACUAGACGGCCUUACAGGAGAUGGGCCUACACCUCAGCCAGUGAGUACUGUACUAGACGGCCUUACAGGAGAUGGGUCUACACCUCAGCCAGUGAGUACUGUACUAGACGGCCUUACAGGAGAUGGGCCUAUACCUCAGCCAGUGAGUACUGUACUAGACGGCCUUACAGGAGAUGGGCCUAUACCUCAGCCAGUGAGUACUGUACUAGACGGCCUUACAGGAGAUGGGCCUACACCUCAGCCAGUGAGCACUGUACUAGACGGCCUAACAGGAGAUGGGUCUACACCUCAGCCAGUGAGUACUGUACUAGACGGCCUUACAGGAGAUGGGCCUAUACCUCAGCCAGUGAGUACUGUACUAGACGGCCUUACAGGAGAUGGGCCUACACCUCAGCCAGUGAGUACUGUACUAGACGGCCUUACAGGAGAUGGGCCUACACCUCAGCCAGUGAGUACUGUACUAGACGGCCUAACAGGAGAUGGGUCUACACCUCAGCCAGUCUAAACUGAAGAUGGAGGACUUCAAAGAGGUCAACAAAGCCCUGAAGGGCCAAGCCUGGCUGAAAGAUGAUGAGGCUACACAGUGUAAACACUGUCAGAAGGACUUCUCCAUCGCUCGCAGAAAA